GACGAACGCUGGCGGCGUGCUUAACACAUGCAAGUCGAACGGAAAGGCCCUGCUUUUGUGGGGUGCUCGAGUGGCGAACGGGUGAGUAACACGUGAGUAACCUGCCCUUGACUUUGGGAUAACUUCAGGAAACUGGGGCUAAUACCGGAUAGGAGCUCCUGCUGCAUGGUGGGGGUUGGAAAGUUUCGGCGGUUGGGGAUGGACUCGCGGCUUAUCAGCUUGUUGGUGGGGUAGUGGCUUACCAAGGCUUUGACGGGUAGCCGGCCUGGGAGGGUGACCGGCCACAUUGGGCCUGAGAUACGGACCAGAAUCCUACGGGAGGCAGCGGUGGGAAAUAUUGCGCAAUGGGCGGAAGCCUGAUGCAGCAACGCCGCGUGCGGAAUGACGGCCUUCGGGUUAUAAACCACUUUCGCCUGUAACAAAGCGUGAGUGACGGUAAUGGGUAAAGAAGCACCGGCUAACUACGUG
rnacentral:rRNA from 1 species